rnacentral:rRNA from 1 species
GUACACUCCUACGGGAGGCAGCAGUGGGGAAUUUUGGACAAUGGGCGAAAGCCUGAUCCAGCCAUGCCGCGUGCAGGAUGAAGGCCUUCGGGUUGUAAACUGCUUUUGUACGGAACGAAACGGCCUUUUCUAAUAAAGAGGGCUAAUGACGGUACCGUAAGAAUAAGCACCGGCUAACUACGUGCCAGCAGCCGCGGUAAUACGUAGGGUGCAAGCGUUAAUCGGAAUUACUGGGCGUAAAGCGUGCGCAGGCGGUUAUGUAAGACAGUUGUGAAAUCCCCGGGCUCAACCUGGGAACUGCAUCUGUGACUGCAUAGCUAGAGUACGGUAGAGGGGGAUGGAAUUCCGCGUGUAGCAGUGAAAUGCGUAGAUAUGCGGAGGAACACCGAUGGCGAAGGCAAUCCCCUGGACCUGUACUGACGCUCAUGCACGAAAGCGUGGGGAGCAAACAGGAUUAGAUACCCCGGUAGUCCCAU